CAAAAAUAAAAAAAUAAUAUUAUGCAAUUUUAUCAGUCCAAUCGCAGUAUGCUUUAUUUCCACUUUAAUCAUAUAACUUUUUUAUUUUGUUUAUAAUAUUCUUAACUCUAACUGAAUAAUAUAUUAUCUUAAUGUACUAACAACAAUGCUCUCGUCAAGAGGCAUGGGAAAAUAAACGGUUAAGUAAUAUUUUCCCCUCAUACAUAAACAUUUUUUUGAUUAAAAUAUUACAAUAUUAGAAUAAAAUUACUAAAAUUGAGGGAAACCAUUAUUUCAUAUGUAAUUAUGCUUUCUAAUUUGACAAAAAUCCAAUAUAUCUAUUUUAAUUUAAAUACGGUUAAUAAAAUUUAACAGCAAAAUAAUAAAAUACAAUUGGAAGU